GCCACAUCAUGAGAAAUUAUAAAAUCGGUCCCAAGCUGGGUUCAGGCGGAUUUGGUUUGGUGUGUGAAGGAACCCGCAAUGAGGAUGAACUCAAGGUGGCUGUGAAAUUUUCAGUGAAGGCACCAAACAUGCCAAACAUCUCAGUGCCUGGUCAUCCCAAUCGCCUGCCGUUGGAGAUCGGCUUGACAC